UACGAAGGGGGCUAGCGUUGCUCGGAAUUACUGGGCGUAAAGUGUGCGCAGGCGGCCGCGCAAGUCGAGUGUGAAAGCCCCGGGCUUAACUUGGGAAUUGCGCUCGAAACUACGUGGCUGGAGUGUGGCAGAGGAAGGUGGAAUUCCAGGUGUAGCGGUGAAAUGCGUAGAGAUCUGGAGGAACACCGAUGGCGAAGGCAGCCUUCUGGGCCAACACUGACGCUCAUGCACGAAAGCGUGGGGAGCAAACAGG
rnacentral:rRNA from 1 species